CCUACAACAGACCGAUUACUUUAACAAAAAGGUUGCUCCAAAGGAGCUUGCUGAUGAAAUUAAGGCUGGAAAAAUUCCCCGAUGAGCUCCUUCUGCUGUGCUGACUCAUGUAGGACUUUUGGCCUGCAUGAUCUUCUUGCACAGUGAUUCUUUUGGAUAGCUGUAUUCGCUGAAGGGAAGUGAGAUAUAAGCUCGAUGUGUCUUUGAACAGGAUAACAUAAGUUCAUGAUAUG